AGACAGUCUAGCCUGCCCACUGAUAAAUAUUAAAUGGCCGCAGUAUUCUGACUGUGCAAAGGUAGCAUAAUCGUUAGUUUCUUAAUUGGGAUCUUGUAUGAAUGGUUGGAUGAAAGAAAAACUGUCUCUGUAAUUAAAAUCGAAGUUAACUUUUAAGUGAAAAGGCUUAAAUAUAUUAAAGGGACGAUAAGACCCUAUAAAGCUUUACAUAAUCAAAUAUUAAGUUGGAUUAGAGAAUUAUAAAAAUUUAGUGUAAAAAUUAUGUUUCAUUGGGGCGAUGAGAGUAAAAUGAAUAGUAACUGCUUUAACUUAAGCCAUUGAUAGAUGAAUAAAGUGAGAUUUAAUGAUCCUAGAUAAAGAUUUAAAGAUUAAGUUACUUUAGGGAUAACAGCGUCAUUUUUUUUGAGAGUUCUUAUCGAAAAAAAAGUUUGCGACCUCGAUGUUGAAUUAAAAUUUCUUUAUAAUUGUAGGUGUUAUAAGAGAAGGUCUGUUCGACCUUUAAAAUUUU
rnacentral:rRNA from 1 species